CGGGUACUGCCCUUCUCGUGUCACGGGUCAAAUUCCGGUGGCCUUAAUCAAUUCCGAGGGAACUGGCUCUGUCCGGACCGUGGUCCGGUUACCCGGUGCCCACCUGUUAAGUCAGGUCCUCGGGAAUUAAGCACCCCAACGGUCGUGGCGGUCCCGCC
rnacentral:other from 1 species